rnacentral:pre_miRNA from 1 species
CAAAUACUCCCUCUGUCCGAAAAUACUUGUCAUCAAAAUGGAUAAAAGGAAAUGUAUCUAGACGUAUUUUAGUUUUAGAUACAUCUCUUUUUAUCCAUUUUGAUGACAAGUAUUUUUGGACGGAGGGAGUAGAAA